CCGAGGGGACCUCGGUGACCACGGCCACUCCGCCCAGAGCUGGACUGCCCCGGGCACUGACCCAGCCUCGGGCAGGGGUCGGGGGCUGCUGGCAUCCACUGCUCUUCUGGGAAGGUCUCGCUAAAGCACUAAGUUGUCCAGGCUGGGCUCAAACUUGCAAUCCUCCUGCCUCAGCUUCCCAGGUACCUGGGAUCACACAUGUGCACCACCGUACCCGCAUAUAAACUCUUCAUGGAGGAAGCCACCCAGAUGGGAAGGUGCACGGAUGCAAGGGGACAGCGCUGUCAUGGUCACCCCUGGACACAGCCCUGCAGCGGCCCCAGACCGGGGCAUCAGCAGCUCUUGGGUGCACUCACGGCUCAGGUGCAGCCAUGCGCGAGGCCUCGGCUCUGCCCUGGUACAGCUGCCGCGUGAGGAGGGCAUCUCCGUGUGACCACAACAGUUUUAAAAAUGCGGCUCUUUGUGGGAUCGCCACUCCUGCAGACUCCGGACUCGGAGGCGGAGGUGACUUACAUGGAAGUGACAGAGGUGUGGGGGGAAACUUGAGGAGGCGGAGUCAUCUUUCAAAGGGAAGGUGAUCUAAUACCCCAGUACCCGGAGCCGGGCACUCCCUGGAGCCUGGCUGGGACUUCCUGGUUCUGUUUAGACGGUCCACCACAUGCCCAGCGGGCAGCGGGAUGGCUCCCUUGGGCUCUGUCCUGCCCUGAACUUUGGGCACAGCUGGUACUCAGGAGGGGAGGGGUGACCACCGGCCAAGGGGUGUGUACACCCUGGGUCAGGGUCGGGGUCAGGGCGCCUCGCUGAGCCCCGACAACCACUUGGGGAGCAGCCCAGUCAGGUGCCCACUGCAGUUUGAAACCAGAAGGUGACGGGCAGCAUGGGCAGCGGGACGUCUGUGCCCCCUACCUGGGGCUCCAGGCAGCAUCGCAGGCCUGGCUUGCGGCCCAUCCGCACACAGCAGGGUCCUCGGUGAGCCCUCCCCGGCCUUCCCACCGGCUCAUCCUCGCCAGCCAGCAGUGUCCCCUUGGCCAGCACGCCCUGCAGCCGCAGCCAGGACUCGACCUCCCUCCCGAUGCUUUUCCGGCUCUUCCACUACUCAGCACCCCAGCACUGUGGGCUCCACACUGUCAGGAGGGUUCCAGAAACCGCUGAAGCCCUAAGUAACUGGUGCUGAAAGGAGGCAGUUUUUUCUCCUCUUUCACAGCAGGGUCUGGGGGAGGCUGGCCCUGCCGUGGCACGGCGUCUACAAACUCCCGGUGCUAGCUAUGGCUUGCCCUGAAGUGCCUCUGUUCUAGACACACACUUCAGUGUCCCCUACCUUCCGGCGGGGAGAGGAAAGGCCCACUGCAAGGGGGGGCAGGGCCAGCGGGGUGAGAUCUUGCUUUGUUUGCUUGUUGAUUUCUGCUUGACCUCACUGCUGCAGGGUAACGGCCUGGCAUCUGCUAGCUGCAAGGGAGGCUGGGAAAUGGGGCCACACCCCCCUCCACAGCAAGGCCCUGUGGCUGUGCUGGCCUGUGCAUCCCCAGGGCUCAUGCAGAGCCAGGAUUGGCGGUGAUGCCGCACUGAGUGGAAAGGUGACAGCCAGGCAGGGGCGGCAGUGGGACCUGUGUCUGCAAGUGGCGCUAAGGGCCCAGGGCUGGGGGAUGAGGAGGCCCGUGGUGGGGGCUACAUCAGCAGCGCAGAGCCUGACCUCUGGCUCCCGCAGUCGCAGGUGAGGCCGCCUGCUGCCUACACAACCUCUGUCCAGCCAGGCUGCACCCAGCUAUCAGCAGGGUCAUCUUCUAUGGCCCAGUUAGCAGUGGAGCCCCAGACUGCACGCAGACAGGAGCUGACUGCAGUGGAUAAGGUUGAGAAGAAAAGCAAGAAAGGGGCAGGCCACGGGGGGCAGUCACCUCAAACCUGCCAGCCGGGACGAGAGCAGGGCUGUGGAGCCACCCACGCAUGUCCCCACGUGGUGUCGCAGCUGGGGCUCCUUAGAUCCUACUCGGGGCCUCCACACGCGAAGGCCUGCCAUUCCUUUCCUCCUGGCGGCCCCCUGCUCUCCGCCCUCUGUCCCCUGAGGCCUCACUGUGUGUGUAUCCAACCUCCUUGGACAGAAAUGACAAUGAGGCCCAGAGGAGGCCAUGCGCUGCCCCAGGUCCCAAGAGUUCGGGACCUCCUCACUCGCAGGUCACUGGCUUCCGGGUUCCGUCCCUCUGCAGGGUCCACUGUGAGAGUCGCCCGCCCCUGGCCCUCGUUCCCGGGACAGGAACGUGGGUUCCGAUGUCAGGAGUGUACCCCGUUCCUACUGGGGGGCUCCGGGUGCCAUUCCAGCAGUCGCUUCACCCUACUGACAGCAUUGCUAGAAGGAAACUCCCUCUCCUUCCUGGGAUGGGAAGCUGAGGUUCCAGCAGGUGGAUGAGUGAUGUCCUGGGGGAGAUGCCUUCCUACCCACAGGCACCUCCUGCCCUCCGCCCUCCGAGCAGGCUGUCCCCACCCCAGUGCGACUGGGGCACUGGGUCCCAGGGGAACUGUCUUUGCCGGGGUUCUGCACCCAAGGUCUCUUCCCCGCGGCUACACAAACGGCUGGGACUCAGAACCAAGGGACCCCAAGGCAUCGAGACACGGCAGCGUGUUUGAAAUGCGAGUGGACCACAAGCCAUCCACCUUCCUGACAGAGCACCCCCACACGAUCAUUAAAAUACUCGAACCCCCACAUCCGACUCAGCCUCCGCCGUUAGGAGUGGGUCUGCCCCGGGCCGCCCUCGCUCCACGCUCUCAGAUACGGCCUCUCGCUAAUUAUCCCUCCGGUUGCCUGGCCUGGUAACUGUUGCACUUGGACAUAGACGGCACACUUUCCCCACAUCUGCUCCAGAUUUGCAUGUCGGAAAUUAGAGAACUUAGCUACGUGGUAUUAUACGACACUUCGGGCCGGGCCCGGAGGACGGGCUGAUCGGGUACUCUGCCCGAAUGAGACGACUUUCAAGCUCUUUCCAGGAAAUUGACUGGAACACGCAACCCGCCAUCCAGGAUCGAAUAUUAUACUCAUACAGCCGCUCUGCAGAGUUCCUGGGCACCCAGCAUCUGGGAGCGAAAUUUAUAAAUGGAGAAACUAAAUACCUGGGUGGACUGGGGCUCAUCAGAGCUAAGAAAUUAGAGUAUUACCGUGUACACUCCAAGCCGGGCCACUUAGAAAGGUAGGGCUAUUAAAAUAUGAUUAGCCGCGCUGUAUUUUGUCUCAGAAAUGUCAUAGACCAUUAAAGUUAAAAAGACUUCGAGGCAAGCCCCUGGCCCAGGCUCUGCCCUGCUCUGAGAAGGUUCUCUGCAAGCAUCGGCCUCCCCGGGAGGGGUCUGGGCUACCCCGCGCCGCUCUGCACAGGCCCGCAGAGGUGAGGAGGGCUUGCCGUGAAAUCUAACACAGUGCCGAGAAAACCUGGGUGAUUGCCGUGUGUAACAGGAGAAAGAAAAUCAAGCAGCAGAAUUACUGCCCGCCGCUGCUGGCCAGCCUGGUUUUAUAAAUAAAGUUUUAUUGCUCCCAGGGCCAGCCAGGCAGUACAAGGUAAGGUUCAUAUCCUGUCCUUAAAGUUUUGCUGCUGUCAAUUUUUAAAAAUUUUGACUUGUUAAUAAAAGGCUGAUUAGGAUACUGCCUUGAUUGCUGAGA